rnacentral:hammerhead_ribozyme from 1 species
AUCCAAUAGACGAGUCCCAAAUAAGAUGAAACGCGCGUCCUGGAU